rnacentral:rRNA from 1 species
UCGAACGAUGAAGCCCAGCUUGCUGGGUGGAUUAGUGGCGAACGGGUGAGUAACACGUGGGUGAUCUGCCCUGCACUCUGGGAUAAGCCUGGGAAACUGGGUCUAAUACCGGAUAUGACCUCUUGCUGCAUGGUGAGGGGUGGAAAGUUUUUCGGUGCAGGAUGAGCCCGCGGCCUAUCAGCUUGUUGGUGGGGUAAUGGCCUACCAAGGCGACGACGGGUAGCCGGCCUGAGAGGGCGACCGGCCACACUGGGACUGAGACACGGCCCAGACUCCUACGGGAGGCAGCAGUGGGGAAUAUUGCACAAUGGGCGCAAGCCUGAUGCACCGACGCCGCGUGAGGGAUGACGGCCUUCGGGUUGUAAACCUCUUUCAGCAGGGACAAAGCGCAAGUGACGGUACCUGCAGAAGAAGCACCGGCCAACUACGUGCCAGCAGCCGCGGUAAUACGUAGGGUGCGAGCGUUGUCCGGAAUUACUGGGCGUAAAGAGCUCGUAGGCGGUUUGUCGCGUCGUCUGUGAAAUCCCGCAGCUCAACUGCGGGCUUGCAGGCGAUACGGGCAGACUCGAGUACUGCAGGGGAGACUGGAAUUCCUGGUGUAGCGGUGAAAUGCGCAGAUAUCAGGAGGAACACCGGUGGCGAAGGCGGGUCUCUGGGCAGUAACUGACGCUGAGGAGCGAAAGCGUGGGUAGCGAACAGGAUUAGAUACCCUGGUAGUCCACGCCGUAAACGGUGGGCGCUAGGUGUGGGUUUCCUUCCACGGGAUCCGUGCCGUAGCCCACGCAUUAAGCGCCCCGCCUGCGGAGUACGGCCGCAAGGCUAAAACUCACAGGAAUUGACGGGGGCCCGCACAAGCGGCGGAGCAUGUGGAUUAAUUCGAUGCAACGCGAAGAACCUUA